GCUUACGGCCAUAUCAGCCUGGGUACUCCCGAUCUCGUCUGAUCUCGGAAACUAAGCAGGGUCGGGCCUGGUUAGUACUUGGAUGGGAGACCGCCUGGGAAUACCAGGUGCUGUAAGCA
rnacentral:rRNA from 1 species